rnacentral:rRNA from 1 species
UACGUAGGGGGCAAGCGUUGUCCGGAAUUAUUGGGCGUAAAGAGCGUGUAGGCGGUCCGGUAAGUCAGCUGUGAAAGUCAAGGGCUCAACCCUUGAAUGCCGGUUGAUACUGUCGGGCUAGAGUCCGGAAGAGGCGAGUGGAAUUCCCGGUGUAGCGGUGAAAUGCGCAGAUAUCAGGAGGAACACCGGUGGCGAAGGCGGUUCUCUGGGCAUGAUCUGACGCUGAGGAGCGAAAGUGUGGGGAGCGAACAGG